rnacentral:rRNA from 1 species
AUUGAACGCUGGCGGCAGGCCUAACACAUGCAAGUCGAGCGGAUGAAGGGAGCUUGCUCCUGGAUUCAGCGGCGGACGGGUGAGUAAUGCCUAGGAAUCUGCCUGGUAGUGGGGGAUAACGUCCGGAAACGGGCGCUAAUACCGCAUACGUCCUGAGGGAGAAAGUGGGGGAUCUUCGGACCUCACGCUAUCAGAUGAGCCUAGGUCGGAUUAGCUAGUUGGUGGGGUAAAGGCCUACCAAGGCGACGAUCCGUAACUGGUCUGAGAGGAUGAUCAGUCACACUGGAACUGAGACACGGUCCAGACUCCUACGGGAGGCAGCAGUGGGGAAUAUUGGACAGUGGGCGAGAGCCUGAUACAGCCAUGCCGCGUGUGUGAAGCAGGUCUUCGGAUUGUAAAGCACUUUAAGUUGGGAGGAAGGGCAGUAAGUUGAUACCUUGCUGUUUUGACGUUACCAACAGAAUAAGCACCGGCUAACUUCGUG